ACAGCACGCACAGCCUCCCACUGCUGCUCCCAUCCCCCUGCAUGGCAUGGCCUCAAAAUGUCUUGUGUUCUUCCAAUUCUGCAUGCUGACUCCUUCCUCUACGUAUUUAUUUUGCAUCUGUAUCAUUAAAAAGAGAUUUAAGAGACCUGGUACUUCAAAGAAGGGGAAAAUAAUGAAACAUCCUUCCCAAGGAAUUAAAAUGAAGAGUGAAAGCUGUUAUUGAAGACCAGUCCCGCAGAUGGAACCCAAAUGGAACUCCAUUGAACCAAAUGGACAAAAUUUCCUGCUAGAUUGGAUCUAGAAGAUGAUGUUUUCUGUGUGGAUCUAUCCUCUCGGCUAAAUACAUUUUCCCAUUCCCUAGCUGAAAUGGGAAAUGAGGACUGCACAUGUUCGUAGUGCUCUGUGUCUCAGUCCUAGAAAGUCCAACAGGUUCACACUGCUAAUGUUGUGCCUGAGAAGCAUCUGUCUGAUUUUCACACAUGUAACUGGUUGUAGCUGUUGCUAGAGCUCAUAUGUGCACGAGCUAGAACAAAGUUUGGACUGAACAUAUGCCUCAUUCCCUGUGUUUACUUCAAGGUGCUGACAAAUGCAUGAAUGGAGUUACUCCCUCUCCUGGACAGAUUAUAAUCUAGGCAAGUAAAUCUUGAUCUCCUGAUGAUGGGAGUCCCUUAGUGAGGCAGGGACACUCUCCAGCCCUACUCCAUUAGCCCAGAUCUCCCAUCAGCCAGACGGGGAGGAUGAGGAGCACUGCUAACCUCGAGCCUUGCAGUGUCCUGAGCCUUGAUCUGUGAGACAGACACACAAAAUACACCAAGGAUGGCUCAGUGAAAACAAAAACCAGGAGUCUUCCCACUAGGACUGGCUGAGUGCUUUUGCAACCAGAGCAGAAUCUCUAUCACAAUCCUGCCUUUUAUCUCAUGGAAGCAGGCAGUGGUUAAUACACCUUAUUUAAUAGUCAUGUGGUUGUCUGAUUUGGGAUGAUAGGCUUCAAGUGGCAGGUGGACCCAAUUCUGCAAAGUGCUGAGCUCUGCAUAAGAGAUGCCAGCUCGCUGCCCUCCUGGUGUUACAAAGAGCCAAGAGCACAUUCAUGAGGUGUGUUGAAGUCAGCACCUCCUGUUUCAGUUCCACCACAUGUCCUCCUUGCCAUUCAACUUAAUUCUAUCUGGAAAUUUUCUAAUACCCAGAGGAUGCUCCUCAUGAGCCUUUUCUUAAGCCCCUCUUUCAUUGAUUAGCUGUGCUGAAGCAGGGCCAGAACAAUUGAUACGGGACAAUUUAAAGUAUCCUGAAGGUUUAUAAUUACAUUUGCACCUUCUUGAGCCAUUUUCUAGACCCUUUAUUUCAUAGAUGAAGCCAAAUCAGCAUCAUUUUGUCUUAGGAACUUUUUAAAAAGGUGCCCUUUUAGGCUGGCAAUAAUAAUACAAGUUUAUCAUAAAGCUUCCUGCAGCAAAAUCUUAUUCAGCCACACACAAUCUUAAAAGUGUUGCUCUGAGAACUACAGACAGACUUCUUGGGAAAUGCCAGAGGAGGUGUUUGGCUUUCAGCUGUACUGCAAUAGACAGCUAAUUAAAUGCUUUGCUAAUAAUAGUAUCCUGUGUAUGAGGAGAUAAGCUCAAUUACUUAUUGAAUUUAAGUGGAGUUUUGCAGACAUGUUGGCAUAUUCCUUGUAGCUAAACCAACUUUUUUUUAGCAAUACAAUUCACUCUCCUUUCUAUUUCUCUAGUUUAGAUGUAUCAUUAAUGAACAAAAAAUGUCACUGAUGGAAAAAAACAAAUCUGACAUUUCUUAGCUAAAGCUCCAUUACUAAAUAAAAAAUAACCAUCUACUCAAUACAAUAAUGGCAGACACUCACCAUAAAAAUCUUCAAAAGAAGACAAUGGAAGUCCUCCUGCUGGCUUACAGCAAAACUAGACAAAAUGUAGGAUUGUUGUCACCAGAAUUUGUUUGCAGUCUGUAUGUAAUCCAUGGACCACACAAUGCUGUGAAAUUCAGUACUUUCAGCACAUAAUCAACAACACUUUCACAAUGAGCAGGAAAAAUGGAUUCCUCCUCCCAGAUUCUUUAGGAAAUACACAGUUUUUCAGUGUAUUUCCAGUGUCACAACUCUUCUUAGAUUAAGAUACCAGACUUCGUACUCUUCACACUCCAUACUCUCAGAAAGGACAGCGGUAAUUUGGAGCUAGAGAACACAGCCCCAAAUUAAAAGAAAAAUGAUUGUUCAUGGAGCAAUAAUGCCAUUUGUUUCAUCUCCUUAGGGCAUGCCUACCCAACUCAGCAGGGCCAUGCAAGAGAACUAUUGACACAGUGCCAUGAACAAGGGAGAGGAUUCUUCCCCUCUACCCUGCCCCUGUGAGAUUCCACCUGGAUUCCACCUGGAAUCCAGCCCUGGAGCCCUCAGCACAUGGAAAACAUGGACCUGUUGGAGCAAGGAAAGCCCCAAAGAUGAUCACAGGUCUGGAGCACCUGUCCAGGAAAGAGAGUCUGAGAGAGCUGGGGUUCUUUAGCCCAGAGAAGAGCAGGCUCUGGUGAGACUCUAUAGCACCUUCUAGUUUCUAAAAUGAGCCUAGAAAGAGGAAUUUUCUACAUGGGCAUGUAGUGAUAGGACAAGGGGAAAGGCUUUAAGAUGACGGAGGACAGGUUUAGAUCAGAUAUUAGGAGGACAUUCUUUACCAUGAGGGUGGUAAGGCACUGGUACAGGCUUCCCAGAGAAGUUGUGGAUGCUCCCUCCCUGGAAGCGCUCAAGGCCAGGUUGGAUGGGGCUCCAAGCCACCUGGUCUAGUGGAAGGUGCCCCUGCCCACGACAGGAGGGUUGGAACUAGGUGAACUUUAAAGUCUGCUUCAACCCAAACCAUUUUAUGAUUUUAUGAUUCUAUGAUUCUGUGACCCACUGGAGGGUGAUGAAGAUGACUGGAGGCUGCAAAUAGCACAUGAGGAAGGGGCCAGGGAGUCAUCCUGUUUGGCUCAGAGAAAGGAAGGCUGAGGAGCAAUUUCACUGUGGAGCCAACAUCCAACUGGUUCAUGAUGGGAAAGGCACAGCCCUGGAACAAGGGUCUGGUCAUGUGGGGAAGUUUCCAUCUGUGGUGAUUCUCAAAACUUGCUGAGUUGCACUGAGCAACCUGACCAAAUUUUGAAUUUAGCCUUGCUUUAAAUACGUGCUUGGACUAGAUGUUCUCCAGAGAUCCCUAAAUAACUCUGCCUGAAGACACUGGGGAAAUUAAGGAAGCAGGUAUCACUAGUGGCCACAGCAUAUAGAAAGCAAAUAAAGGAACUUCAUCUGACCAUGGUUUUUAUUGUAAAAUGACUUCUCUAUUAAUGGCCUGGGGUCCACUAAGCAGCUUCUAGACCUUAAUUAAGGUAGUUAUUUCAAAGAUAAUUAGCAUUUAAUACCUAAGUAUACUUAAUAAUUUCCUAAAUGCUUCCUAAAUUGCCUGAAUUUGAGCUCUGCUGUAACAGAUAACCCUGUAUGAAACAAGGAACCAAAAAGUAGAAGGAUGCUGACUUAGUAUUAAAAUUCUCCACAGCACCAACCCUCUAAAAGACACAAUGGUAUUCUACACACUACAGCAAAAUAGUCCAAGCCAAAAGAUUUAUGUUCAUUUAAUAAUAAAUAAUUUCAUGAGACUGUGAGAACUCAUGAACUUUGGCCUUGAAUACUGCAGACCUCAAAAUUUCCCAGUGAGGUUAAGUGAUCUAAAUGAUGACAACUCCUCCAGUGCUACUCUACUUGUUCUGUGUCAAGGAAGGGUUGUUCUAAGUUGUGAUUUCUCUUGUAAUUAAAAGGAGGGGUUGGUACAAAUAAGGGCCCGUGUUUCAAAACACUUGUAUUUGGAAAGGAAAAGAAAAAUGCAGAGCUAAAAUGGAUGGUGAUAAGAAAAGGAAAAGAGAGACUGAAAAAACCAAAACAGCCAGUGACAUAAUGGAACUUGACUCUGAGCUGCAUAAAUAAACACAGCUACAGUGUCUUGCAGAAUUUAGGAAAAUGCCCUGAGCACAUGAAAUGUGGUGGUUACCAUAGCAAUUUACAUACAGUCAUACAUCAGACAAAUCUUGAAACUCUUUUCUGGUUUAAACUCCCAAUUGAGAACACAGGAUCAGGUACAAAGAGCAAACCUCUUGUCCACUCUGGUUGAGACAUUAUUGAUGUCAUUCCAUAGGGGUCAGCUCACACCCUGUGAUGAGUGACCACCCUCACAGUGCAGGGCUUUUCACUCUGGGAGCAGCUGUUUGCUCCACACCUCUCUGUGUGUGUGUGUGUGUAUGGGGAGUAGCACAGAGCAAAUCCCCUUCCUCUAAGGGAUGUGGCUGAAUCCAACACAGAGCUGCUCCUUCUGCCCCUGCCACCUCUGUAUGGCAUCCUGUUCUGUGGCGAUGCACGCAGCUGCUGUGAACCUGUGUGCUGCACUGCUAUCUCCAGGACCCAGCAGCUCACUGCAUCAGCCACCUGGCAUGGGCAGAUCAGCUGCUGGUGCUUUGUGCCUGUCUGGAUGCCCAGAGUGCCCAGCAUUGCCCGAGCCUGCUCUGUCUGGGGCCAGGUGUGACUAGCUAGGAGCAUCCCUGCCCCAACAGCUCUGGAUCAGCUCUGACUGGGAUGGGGCUGAUUUUCUUCAUAGUGCCUCAUGGGGUGCCAUGCUUUGAGUUUGUGUCUAAAACAGUGAUGCUUAAGACACCAAAGUGUGUUAUACUCCUUUCCAAUUCCCCAAAUUAGGAAAGAUUAGGGAAAACUAGGAAUAUUAGGAAAAGGGCAGAAGCUGGGGAGCAGCUGCCAGGCUGAAAUGGCACAGGGACCUUCUUGCCCUGCUCCACUCCCCUUGCAUGUCCUCCCAGCUGACUGUGGGUGACAUUGCUGCCUGCUUGGAGGUGAACUGAGGAUGGGGUAAGCACGUGUCUGCUUAUGGAAGGGACACAGGCUCUAGGGCCAAGAAUGGUGACAUCCAAGGGAGCAGGCAGCCACCACCUCCACUAGCAGGAGAUGAUGCUCCACUGAUUUGGGUUAUCUGGGAGCCUGCCUGGAUGUGUUGCUGGCAUUGCUGGAGUCCAGACAGCUCAGCCUGAACAUCCCAAGCAGCCCUGCAAGAGCUCGGAGCGGGUGCGUGCCAAAGACUCUGACUCAGGGACAGCAAAAGAAGAAAGAGUCAAUACAUCUGGACAUGCACUGAAAAGAUGAAAAGGCAAAAAAAAAAAAGAUGUUGUUCUCAGGUCUAUGGCCAGAGGGAAAGUAAGGAGCAAAAUGGUGAAUGAGUCAUGGCUCUCAGCUGCCUGGGCCAUUAAUAGAGGGAGACAAGGGGAUGGGUGAAGGGAUGCACUGGAGAGAGCACCUGGGUGCUGCAGAUGGGAACUGGCUGCACUCAGCUCUCUCUCAAGGGCAUCCUUCCUGGAGGUCUCCCUUCCUGGUAGAUAAACAAGCUGCACAGACCUGUUGUGCUGGAGCCUGACAUCCUGAAGAAUAAACAAAGGUGUGUUUCACUGGAGAUGGGAAUGACAAGGAAAGGCAGAAUCAAAAGUUCCCUUGAUGAGAAAGAUCUCUCCCUGUCAGAGAUCACAUUCUCCUCAGCAACACCCACAGCUGCUGAGGCUACAACUUCACUUUCAAUAAAACACUUCCACAAACUACUCCUUACCUGUGAUAAUGCAACCGCAGCCUGCUUGGCACAGCUCAUGGCAGGAGUGUGCUGCAGAGACCUGCUGGAGACAAGGCUUGUCUCCUUCCUGCCCUGGGGCUUUAGGAAAUUUGGGACAGAAACUGCCAGCUCAGUGAGUCCUCUCCAGCCUCAACACCACUUUGUUCUGCACUGCAGUACUGCAGUGGCACUUGGGAUCCUACCUGGACAAGCAGGCGAGCACAAGCUCAAACAUAAACCUCUGAGCCAUCACUUUUGACAGCUGGACUGGUCAUGGCCAAGCACCAUCAGCUGCAGGCUGCCCCUGGGCUGCAGGGAACAGACAGAACUGAUGCCGUGUGACAGCAGAUCUGGAGGAAUCAUUAUAUUGUGUUCCCACUUCAACAGUUGAAAAUAAUUAAUUUUCAGGAUAUGGAUAUGCAAAAGACUUUAUGCUGCUUCUGUGCCAAUGCACAAGGUGUUCUGUCAGACUUUCUCCACCUGCCAUCUCUUAGUGUCCUAAAAAAAGGAUUAAAUGAAAACAGGAUUUUUUUUCCACUGGGCUCUUUACAGUUCACAAGGAAUCUUCCAGUAUCACUUAGCAAAUGAAAUUAUACUUCCUUCUUCCCCCAACCCUCCUCCAAGUGUAAAUUUUAAUUCAAAUAAA